rfam:Rattus norvegicus chromosome 1, whole genome shotgun sequence.
GGGGAUUUAGCUCAGUGGUAGAGCGCUUGCCUAGCAAACAAAAGGCCCUGGGUUUGAUCCCCAGCUCCA